UUUUAGGGUGAAUCCUUGAAGGGUUUUUCUCAAUGAUAUAUAGGAUUAUAGUUUUGAAAUUUAUGUAUUCAAAUUAUUUGGAAAGUAAUUUCAAUUUCACUGUCUUCUAGAUUCUAUCCUAUUCUAUCUCACUUCCUUUGUCCUUCAUUCUUCCUACUACCUCUUCUUGCUCACAAGAUAGCCAUCAUGCUUCUUGGUGGUGGUACCCUUCCAGGCCCACCUCCUCCUUCCCCCCCUUCUCCUCCUUCCUCUUCCUCUUCUUCCUCUUUUUCCUCCUCCUUCUUUCUUUCUCUGUCUGUCUCUCUGUCUCUGUCUCCCCCCGCCCACCAGAGUCUCACUAUGUACUCUGGCAGUUGUCAUACUAUGUAGUUUGGGCUGAUCUCGAACUCACAGAGAUCUAUCUGCCUCUGUGUCCCAAGUGCUGAGAUCAAAGGCAUGAACCACCACGCCCAGCUCUUUCCCCCAAUUUCUCAACAUCAGUUUUCACUGAGCCAGUGUGUCACUUAAGCACGCCUCUCGCCAUCCCUCGGAAAGAUCCAAGCUUUGAACACCUGAGCUUUUAGACAGGAUGCUUCUUUGGUGACUUGAUUCUGUCAGCCCACAGCUUAUCCAUCCUUCACAGUUUAUACUGAAAUGAUCACAUUAGAAGUCUUUGCCUUCCCAGCAUGCCCACUGCAUGUCCUCUGUGCCCUGAAAGCAUUUAUAGAGAGCUUACUCAAUGUUAUGUAUUCGCCAUGCACAAUUUGGUUGACUUGGUAUUGUGACAUUGUGCUUUGUAUGAGAAAUGUCCUGCAGGUCAGUCCUGUCUGGAGAUGCCCUUCUAGACACCCUCCUAGGCCUGCUUCAUUCAACCCUUAGGUGCUUCUUAAUCCAUGCAGACUGACAAUCAGGUGAGGACCACAGAGUUGGAAUUGCUGAUGCUGCCUUUGGAGAGCCAGAGAAGGGAAGGAAUCCUGAGGCCUGCUGAGUGGUCAGGACUCCGCAGCUGACUCCUCUGGCUGCCUGCAUUGCCCCAUCUUUGGUACACCUACUGUGGUUGUGUUGUCUGGAAUCACAGUAGGUGUUCACAGCUUUCUCUCACAAACAUGCUUGUUUUAAUCUGUCCUGGUCAUGUUCCUCCAAAGUAAACUUAUGUGUUUUAGUUGUUUUGAGAUUUAAGUUUCUUUAUAUCUAUUUAUUAUUAUUAAUUUUUAUUAUUAUAUCCUCCUUAAUUUAAAUUUUUUUCAUCUAGCUUUUAUAAACUCUCAUACUAUUUUAUUUGAUUCAUUUUAUAGGUUUCCUUACUGUGAAUUUUCACACCUAUUUUGUAGAUGUUAUAGGUUUCUGCAUCCAUUAAACAAUUGAGAUUAUUUUU
rnacentral:lncRNA from 1 species